rnacentral:misc_RNA from 1 species
UGUGGGAGCGAGCCUGCUCGCGAAAGCGGAGUGUCUGGUGUUGAGCAGUCAACUGACACACCGCCAUCGCGAGCAGGCUCGCUCCCACA